ACAGGCGACGGCCGGCGGCGCGUCGAUUCUCCCCGGCGGCAGGCAUCCUCGGCGCGCAGCCCUCCCGCGCGCGAAGCCUUCCCCGCGCGCAGCCCCGCAGAGGCACUCUCGUCCCCUCCCGCGGAGUGCAGGCGCAUCACUCCGGCGGCACCCCUUCCUAGCGGCCAAUCGCGGCGGCCGUUGCGCAAUAUGUAGGCUCCACGAUACCUCAGCGACAUUUUCCCGCAGGAGGCGGCCGAUCUUUUAUGGGUUCCUGACGGGUACAGACUUCUUCCUUUUUCUCCUAGGGUUAAUGCUAAUUUUGAGCAAUUGGGCUUGUUAUCGCACAGUUAUACUCAUUUUUUCUAAGUAAAUCAUAUUAUGUGUUGAUUCUACUAUGAUUUGUGUCAUUGUUUGUGUAGGAUGGAUCCUAAUUCGUCCUACAGGCUUGCUGUUCGUGUAGGUGCUUAUGUUAAAAUUAGUGCACAGCUGCAGGAAGGUCAAGGGAGAGAAGGUACAAAUCAGCCGCAGAAGGAGAAUCUGAAAGGAGAACCACAUGAUGCACAAGAUGCAGAUAGCUUGGACAUAUGGCAAAAACAUGCAAUAAAUAUGUAUAUGAUUCUGAUGCCCCACCACCUGCUCCUUCAAUGCUAAAGAAAAAGCGAGACAAGAAAAGUGUCACCGUAGUACCAUUUAGUGUUGUUGCCCCGCCGCAGGAACAACCAUCACGUGUUGAUCUAUUUGCUACACCAACUAAGCCAUCACUUGUGCUUCUACACCAAGCCCUGUUACAAGGAGCAUGUCAAGGAGGUUGUUGGAACUAGAGCCAUCCACAUCAACUAGAGCUAUCGCUUCUGUUUCUACACCAAGCCCUAUGAUAAGAGCCGCAAAAGGACCUUGAAACUUGAAGGCAUCAUAGAGCCUGUUGCUUCUCCAACCACAUCUUCGGUUGCUAUUGAGAAGGGAAAAGCAAAGAAGUUGAAGGUUGUUAGGUCUAGAAAAACUUAGUAUGCUGAAAACACAUGAAGACAUCAUUUUGGAGCAUUAUAGCUCAAAAUAUGUUAUUUUCUAGCGCUGUACUUGCUAGGGAAAUGUGGCUGAAACAUGUGGUGUACUUGAUGCCAAAUGUGGCUGAAACCAUGUCAUUUUGUAUUGCUGAAUUUGAUAGUUAAAUAUGGAUCAAUCAUAUAUUUUUCUAUUAUUGGA